GCCUCAAUAGUUUAAAGAAAACUUUGGUCUUGUAAACCAAGAAUGAAAAUUAUUUCUUAAGGCU
rnacentral:tRNA from 1 species